rnacentral:rRNA from 1 species
UACGGAGGAUCCAAGCGUUUAUCCGGAUUCAUUGGGGUUUAAAGGGUGCGUAGGCGGAACGAUAAGUCAGUGGUGAAGCCUGUAGCUUAACUACAGAACUGCCAUUGAUACUGUCGAUCUUGAGUAUAUUUGAUGUGGGCGGAAUGUGUCAUGUAGCGGUGAAAUGCUUAGAUAUGACACAGAACACCGAUUGCGAAGGCAGCUCACAAAAACUAUAACUAACGCUGAGGCACGAAAGCGUGGGGAUCAAACAGG